AGAGUUUGAUCCUGGCUCAGGAUGAACGCUGGCGGCGUGCCUAACACAUGCAAGUCGAGCGGUAUAUAUCUAAGCAAAUCUUCGGAAGAGCGAGGAUAUAGAGAGCGGCGGACGGGUGAGUAACGCGUAGGCAACCUGCCCCAUACACAGGGAUAGCCUCGGGAAACCGGGAUUAAAGCCUGAUAAUGCGAGAGAACUUCAUGGAUCUUUCGCCAAAGAUUUAUCGGUAUGGGAUGGGCCUGCGUCUGAUUAGCUAGUUGGUGGGGUAACGGCCUACCAAGGCGACGAUCAGUAGCCGACCUGAGAGGGUAAUCGGCCACAUUGGAACUGAGACACGGUCCAAACUCCUACGGGAGGCAGCAGUGGGGAAUAUUGCACAAUGGGCGAAAGCCUGAUGCAGCAACGCCGCGUGAGCGAUGAAGGCCUUUGGGUCGUAAAGCUCUGUCCUUGGGGAAGAAAAAAAAUGACGGUACCCUUGGAGGAAGCCCCGGCUAACUACGUGCCAGCAGCCGCGGUAAUACGUAGGGGGCAAGCGUUAUCCGGAAUUAUUGGGCGUAAAGAGUGCGUAGGUGGUUUUGUAAGCGCGGGGUGAAAGGCAAUGGCUCAACUAUUGUAAGCCCUGCGAACUGUGAGACUUGAGUGCAGGAGAGGAAAGCGGAAUUCCUAGUGUAGCGGUGAAAUGCGUAGAUAUUAGGAGGAACACCAGUGGCGAAGGCGGCUUUCUGGACUGUAACUGACACUGAGGCACGAAAGCGUGGGGAGCAAACAGGAUUAGAUACCCUGGUAGUCCACGCCGUAAACGAUGAGCACUAGUGUCGGGGCCGCAAGGCUUCGGUGCCGCAAUUUAACGCAUUUAGUGCUCCGCUGGGGAGUACGCACGCCAGUGUGAAACUCAAAUGAAUUGACGG
rnacentral:rRNA from 1 species